UAUUUAAAGACGAUCGAUUUUCUAAGUAAGAAAUUGUUAAAGGAAAGACAUAUAAGAAAGACAGCUGAAGAAGCAUAUCAAAACAAGAUCCGUUCACUAAAUGUAACAACUAUUAAACUUCAAGACGAAUUGAACAGGUUACAUCGAAGACACCUUCUGUAAUGGAUUGGGUCAUAAACUUUCGAAGAAGGAUGCAGCCAAAAGAUGAAAGGUAAAUUUAACCCGAGUGAAAUUUGAACAGAGAGAUAUAAAUAAACACUGCAAAACAUU